AUAGCCAGUCAAGUUCCAUGUACCAUCAUGCAGAAAGAAACAGCUGAAUACAGCAGUUCAUGGAGAGAAACAUACAUCUCUAAAGGAGAUUCCAGCCCACCCAAGCUUUGGAUGUUCCGAGGUUUUUGUUGCCAAGUACGGAACUGAACUGCUACAGCAAGUGAAUUAAACUGCAGAUUUGGUCCUUUUAGAAGAAAGUUGAAGGCAGCUGUUAGAGGAGCAAGAAGCUUGAAUUUUUAUAAUUCAAUUUAGUUUAUAUGUGAAGGGCUUCUCUUUCUGUUACAAUAAGUACUAAAGCUUUCACU